GGACUACUUGGGUAUCUAAUCCGGUUUGCUCCCCCAGCUUUCGUCCCUCACUGUCGGACCCGUUCUGGUGAGAUGCCUUCGCUAUAGGUGGUCCCACCGGGAUUACAGGAUUUCACUCCUACCCCGGCAGUACCUCUCACCUCUCCCGGUCCCAAGAAAUGCAGUUUCCCCUGAACGCCCGCCAGUUAAGCUGGCGGAUUUCUCAAAAGACUUGCAUAUCAAGCUACGGACCCUUUAAGCCCAGUAAUAGUGGCCACCACUCGAGCCGCCGGUAUUACCGCGGCGGCUGGCACCGGUCUUGCCCGGCCCUUUCUUCACCAGUUUUUUAAACUGGCGGACAGCCAGCCUAUGCUGGCACGCGGGGUUUCCUUAUCACGGUUGCCCGCAUGGUAAAGUUUUCGCGCCUGCUGCGUCCCGUAGG
rnacentral:rRNA from 1 species